AUGGACGGCCGGGACGCCACGGCGGACCUGCAGGAGUGGGAGCUCCUCCUCGCCUCCCCGACCGCCACCGCGGCGCCGGGCCCUUACGCCGCCGGCGAGGAGGCGGUGGAGGACGACGCCGCCGGGGCCAUCAAGUACGACUACUUCGACCUCGGCUCCGACGCCAAGUACGCCAGGAGGGCGUCCCUGUCGGCGGGGGCCGAGGAGGAGGGUAAGGAGGAGGAGGGGACGGACGAGGAGGCCGGCGAGGCGAGCUGGGUGGAGCCGCACCCGGGCGCCCUCGCCUUCCCCGCCCGCGACCGCGCCGCGCUCUGGUCCGACUCGUCGUCGGACGGGGAGAGGCGCGAGGACGCCGAGGCCACCGAGCCGCUGGUGGAGACGCCCCGGGAGGCUGCGGCGGCGGACGAGGGGGCGGUGGCGAAGGGAGGGCCCGCGGCGGCCGCGGCGCGGUGGUGGAGGCUGCCCGUGGAGGUGCUGCGGCUGUGGGCGGCGCGCGCGGCGAGGAGCGCGUGGUCGGUGCCCGUCGCCGUCGCGCUGCUCGGGAUCGCCGUGCUGGGCCGCCGGCUGUACCGGAUGCGGCGGCAGAGCAAGGCCGUGGCGCGCGUGCGGCUCGUCCUUGACGAUAAGAAGGCAUCUCAAUUCAAGGCCCAGCCGAUGUUGCGGCGAGCUCCGAUGAUAAAGCCUAUGCUUCCCGGCAAUGGAGUGACCCCAUGGCCUGUGCUGGGGCACCUGUGA
rnacentral:rRNA from 1 species